UUUUUACUUUAGAACAUCUUCUUUUUUAUUGUUAUUAGGCAGAACUUUUCAUUGCUUCAAAUUCAUAUAAAUUAAAUUUUUUUAGUUUGGAAGCCUCUUGUGCAUUUGUAGAGAGGUGAGGGCUAACUUGUUCUUCUAACCAAACAAAGAAAAUUAACUUCAGAAACUCUUCUUUGGCUUAGCUGCUACAGAAAUUAUGCAUCUGAUCUAGGUUGAAAUUCAUGGAUGCUACUCUCCUCACGCCUAGAGUACCUAAAGCAAAGGGAAAGGUGGGGAAAAGCUGUAGUUGGUCUUUGGAAUACCGAAUAUGUGAUCAUUCAGAGUAAAGAACCCUAAUUGUCUAUCAGCUCCCAUUCACUGAAUUACACAAAUAUAGCAAUUUUCAGUACGAUAGGCCUUUUUUGAGAUUUCAAUAUGUAAUGCUUUCAUCUACUUGGCAUUUAAGCCUAUAUAUUUUUAAGUUUUUGCGGAUAAGCUGCACAAACGGCUGAUAUUUGGAACUCAUUGUUGAUACUCGGUUAAGGGGAAACAUUGCCCUCCUUGUUGGGAUUAUGUUAUUGAGGAUGAUUUGCACGUUUGUUGUGUGUGUUCAGUAUCGUAAAUUGGCUUGUUCAAGAAGAAGGAUCACCCCCCUUGUGUUGAAACUUGAAAACUAGGAAUAUGGACAAAGAUAAAGCGAGCUAGUCUGGAAGAUGCAGCUUAUAUUGUUCGAAAUUAAGUGCAGAAAUAUUUUAAUCUUGAACUUCUUUCUCAGUUGUCGAGGGAUACAUCUGAAUGUGAAGUUGGUGUCUAAACUUAGCAUCCCAUUUCACGUAGUUUAGAUAUGUAUGGUAUAUUGGAGUUUCAUUCUGUUAGCCAGACCAAGAAAAAGUCAGCCUUCUUGAAUACACACUUCAUAGGCGGAUCAGUAUAUUCUAAAUUUUGUUGUGGUUGUACU